rnacentral:lncRNA from 1 species
GCAAGCUAGUAAACUGUAUAUAUGCCUGCUGCAGGGCUGAAGAGACCAAAACUCUCUGCAGAGGACCACGGUGUCUCUGAAAGCACAACUCCUUGGCUUCAUUCAGUGCUUAUUCAAUGCCCAGUACCCAAGCACAGCAGCCUUCUCAUCCACAUCCAGUGCCUCAGCAAGACAACUGGAAGACUUCCCACAUGUCACAGUACCAGAAGGAUGAGUUCCUCCUCUAUGUCUCCAGUCUACACCUGUGUGAUCAAUGUUACAGCACUGGCCCUAUAGAUAAGUACAGUAGUAAGGGUAGGAGCAAUAAAAAUGCUGAUGACUCUAUUCCAGUACCCCCACAUGCACUGCAUUUAAAAAACAAAACAAAACAAACAAACAAACAGAAAAAUAAUAAGUGGUCUAUAUAAUAUUGAUAGCAAAUCCAUUACAUUUUUUCCUUUUCCCUUCCCCGUCCCUUUAUAAAUGCAUGGUGCAUCCCAUCUUUACAAAAUAAAAUCUUCCCUUCACUUGCUGUCUUGAAUUAA